rnacentral:rRNA from 1 species
GACUCCUACGGGAGGCAGCAGUGGGGAAUUUUGGACAAUGGGGGCAACCCUGAUCCAGCAAUGCCGCGUGAGUGAAGAAGGCCUUCGGGUUGUAAAGCUCUUUUGUCAGGGAAGAAACAGCAGCUCUAACACAGUCUGCGAAUGACGGUACCUGAAGAAUAAGCACCGGCUAACUACGUG